UAUAUAGAUAUACCUAAUAUAGUACUUGGUUUUUUUAUAGUUGUAAUUAAAAUGGAAAGCAAAUUUUAUGAAAUUAAAAAGAAAAGACUUGGCUCUGAUCUGUUUGUAUGGCAAAGACUAAAAAAAACACAUGGUUUUUCUAGAAAGAAGCGAGGUGAGGAACUAAAGUAGUUUUAAAUUAAUAAUUUAUAACAUAUUUCUUCCUUAAAGUAUUAUUAGAUGCAUAAAAUGCUUUGAAAGUCCCGUUAGCACCAGUGUUGAAGUUUAAUUAAGAGUGAAAGCUUGUAUUAAUUUAGUAAAUAUAAAUUUGGUUAAUUUGGUGCCAGCAUCCGCGGUUAAACCAAGAAAUUAGGUCAUAUAUUUUUGGUAAAAAGAUAGUUAAAUAUUAAUAAAUAUAAGUUUUUAAAUGGUUUAUAAAAAAGUGAAAUUUAUAUAUAAAUUUUAAAAUUAGUAACAACUUAAUAAAUUGAAUCUAUGAAAGUCUUGAGGGAAACUGGGAUUAGAUACCCCAUUAUUCUUGAUUGUAAAAUAAUGAAAUCUACCAGAGUAGUAUGAAUAAAAUAAUAAUUUAAAACUCAAAGGGCUUGGCGGUGUCUUAGACCACUUAGGGGAACCUGUCUCGUAAUCGAUAAUCCACGUUACACCUAACCUUUUUUUGUAUAAUUCAGCUUGUAUACCAUUGUCGUCAGGUAACUUUUAAAAAACUAUAAGUUAGCUACAAAUCCUUAAGUUAAAACGUCAAAUCAAGGUGCAGCCUAUAAAAAGGAGUAGAUGGGUUACAAUUAAUAUUUAUAAUUACGAAUAAUUUAUUAGAACUAUGAUUGGAAGGAGGACUUAAAAGUAAAUUAGAUUAUAUAAAUAUUUUGAAUAUGGCUCUGAGAUGUGCACACAUCGCCCGUCGCUCUUGUUGAAAAAUAAGAUAAGUCGUAACAUAGUAGAGGUAAUGGAAAUUGUCUCUAAAUAAAAUAUU
rnacentral:ncRNA from 1 species